rnacentral:rRNA from 1 species
CGAGAAGACCCCAUUGAGCUUUACUAUUAACUUGUAUUGCCAGAGCCAAGGGACCCUCCCCGGGUCCCUGCUUCAUAAUAAAAUUGUGAAGACUAAGUGGAAAAAGAAAAAACAAGGGAUUAAAAAGAACGGAGAGCCCGGAGGGCGGCGGGGGGGGGCCUAAAGGGCUCCCCCCCGCCGCCCUGUCCCGAUUUAUAUGAAAAACCACUCUUUUUAUUAAGAUUACUGUCUAAAACCGUACAAGUAAGAUAGUUUGGUUGGGGCGACCGCCUUCGAAAAAGUAUCGAAGGCGCACAUAAGAUUAGUCCGGAGGGGGGUCCAAAGGAUCCCCCUCCCGGGGGCAAUGCCCCAAAAAAAGAUCAGUUUGACUGAGAGGGCUACAACCCGAACAGACGCCAGGGACCCGGGGGGGGGCCGGGGGGCCCCAUAGGCGCCCCGGCCCCCCCCCCCGCCUUUUGGCGGGUCAUAGUGAUCCGUUGUUAUAUUGUGGGAUUGACAACGAUCAA